UACGAGUCUUUCCAUGUAUCCCAGUGAUCGUGAACGAAAACAGAAGUCGAGCGAAAUUGAGAAAAAAUAUAGAAAAUUGAAAUUGAGGCGAAACUUACUGUGAAAUGGUUUGUAGAGACCUCCUGAAGGACACGAUGGGCGCGGCCGAGUAGGAUGCGGCCUCAUGCAAGAUGUCUCGUGUAGGGGGAGGGGCCAGGACCAAGCCCAGGACUCUGCAGGACGUGUGUGCUGACUGUGGGGCGCCAGAGCCAGGCUGGGCAUCAAUCAACCGAGGGAUUCUCAUUUGUGACGAGUGUUGCAGCGUCCACAGGUCUUUAGGAAGACACAUCUCUCAGGUCAAGUCUCUUAAGAAAGGAACAUGGAAUCCUGUACAACAUGCACUGGUGCACACACUGUACAGCAGUGGUGCAAACAAUAUCUGGGAACAUACACUCUUGGACCCCAGCGUUGCCAAAACUGGCAGACGCAAACCUCACCCCAAGGAUCCAGUCCACCCUACCAAAGCUGACUUUAUAAGAGCAAAGCACCAGAUGUUGUCAUUUGUGUACCGGCCAUCAAGAGAAGAUGCAAGUGAAGAUGGGGAUGUCAGCCGACAGCUUCAUUCCAGUGUGCGCACCUCCAACCUUGAAACCUCAUUACGGCUCCUGUCCCAAGGAGCUGACCCAAAUUAUUAUCAUAAGGAAAAAAACUGUUGUCCCCUCCAUGUAGCAGCUAAAGCAGGGCAGGCAGCUCAAGUGGAGUUGCUGAUGGUGUAUGGGGCAGACCCAGGGGCUUUUGAUGGUCAGGGGAACACACCUGCACUCUAUGCAAGUGAGGCCAAUCAUUUAGACUUAGCAGAACACCUAGUGGAGAGUCAGUAUGAGCUGACAGACAGGUUGGCCUUCUACCUUUGUGGGCGGAAACCUGAUCACACCCUUGGACAGCACUGGAUCAUACCUGAAAUGGCCGACUCCCUGGACAUGUCAGAUCUGGCCAAAGAAGCAAGAGUUAAACUUCAACACUUGCCAAACCAUCUGUUUGAAGAAUUGGCAUGUGAUGUGUAUGAUGAGGUUGAUCGACGCGAGACAGAUUCUAUAUGGCUGUCUUUACAAAAUCAAAGUGCUCUGGUGAGUGAUCGCUGCACUGUACCUUUUCUCCCUGUCAACCCAGAGUUCUCUUCCACCAGAAACCAAGGACGCCAAAAACUAGCAAGAUUUAAUGCAAGAGAAUUUGCCACACUUAUCAUAGAUGUCCUCUCAGAUGCUAAAAGACGGCAGACAGGAAUUUCAUCUCCAAGUGGAACCCCAAAAGAUAAAGACUUCGGUGACGUGACGUUGACACUGCCUAACUCUCCUAAAGUAAACCUGCACAACAACAAUACCCUGAGCUUAAACCAGAGAUUAAUCAAUCCCGCCACAUCUGCUGGCAGCACCACGGCUAACCCCACACCAGUGCUGCCACUCACAAACAAAGACUCCCAACACAUACGACAGACACCAAACUCACUAGGUUCCUUGUCGUCUAGCACAAGCAUUCUGACUGUCACUUCCACUGGGAUCACAGACACUUCCUCAGGCCCCUCCUCACUCCCCACCUCUGCUCUCACCACCACAACCAACAACAACAAAGGUGAAAUGACAGAUGACGGGGAACCCCUGUACGACUCUGUGGCAUCGGAAGAUGACUACUCCUAUGUGGAACAAAUGCAGAAGUUACGACACCAAACAGAAAUUUUAGCGGACCAGAAAAGGCAGCAUCAGCUGGAAGAAAUGUAUGCAGAGCCAAACAGUGACUUGCUAGCAGGGAUGGAUUCUACAGUGAGCUUGGAAGAAUACCUCGAGAUGAAAGAGAAGUUAGAAAGCAGUGAGGCCAGAAUCCAGGAGCUACAGAAUAACAAUGCACACAUGCAGUCGCAGCUGGAUGAGCUCAGCUCGACCGUGCGUAAACUGAUCCGUGAGCGAUUGUACCUCCAGUCUACAUCGCCUCAGCGCAAACUGCAGAAGAGUAGAUGGGAAGACAGUCCCUUGGUUGUGGGAUGCCUGCACUUCACUUCCAGAAUUUAUAGCAGUGCUGUUCUCUUUAAACUGUCACGUGUUUAAGGCAUAGAUGCAUGUACAUUUGCCUUUUUAUGAGAUUUUGUAUUUGUAAGAUGAAUGUUGGAUACAAGGUUAAAAGUUUGCGUGAAGAGAACAUGAGCCUGCGGUCGCUGUAUGGCAGCGGGAGUAUGGGUGGGUCCAUGCACCCCUCGUCCUCUCAUGUGCCCACGCCCCCUCCCCCUCUCCUCCCCCU
rnacentral:misc_RNA from 1 species